rnacentral:rRNA from 1 species
UGGGGAAUAUUGCGCAAUGGGCGGAAGCCUGACGCAGCGACGCCGCGUGGGGGAUGACGGCCUUCGGGUUGUAAACCUCUUUCAGCAGGGACGAAGCCGCGAGGUGACGGUACCUGCAGAAGAAGCACCGGCCAACUACGUGCCAGCAGCCGCGGUAAUACGUAGGGUGCAAGCGUUGUCCGGAAUUAUUGGGCGUAAAGAGCUCGUAGGCGGUUUGUUGCGUCGGCUGUGAAAUCCCGAGGCUCAACCUCGGGUCUGCAGUCGAUACGAGCAAACUAGAGUGUUGCAGGGGAGACUGGAAUUCCUGGUGUAGCGGUGAAAUGCGCAGAUAUCAGGAGGAACACCGGUGGCGAAGGCGGGUCUCUGGGCAACAACUGACGCUGAGGAGCGAAAGCGUGGGGAGCGAACAG